rnacentral:rRNA from 1 species
CCUACGGGAGGCAGCAGUGGGGAAUUUUGGACAAUGGGGGCAACCCUGAUCCAGCCAUUCCGCGUGAGUGAAGAAGGCCUUCGGGUUGUAAAGCUCUUUCGCAAGGGAAGAAAACUUAUGAUCGAAUAAAUCAUGAGGUUGACGGUACCUUGAUAAGAAGCACCGGCUAACUACGUGCCAGCAGCCGCGGUAAUACGUAGGGUGCGAGCGUUAAUCGGAAUUACUGGGCGUAAAGCGUGCGCAGGCGGUUUUGUAAGUCGGAUGUGAAAUCCCCGGGCUCAACCUGGGAACUGCGUUCGAAACUGCAAGGCUAGAGUGUGUCAGAGGGGGGUAGAAUUCCACGUGUAGCAGUGAAAUGCGUAGAGAUGUGGAGGAAUACCAAUGGCGAAGGCAGCCCCCUGGGAUAACACUGACGCUCAUGCACGAAAGCGUGGGGAGCAAACAGGAUUAGAUACCCUGGUAGUCCACGCCCUAAACGAUGUCAACUAGUUGUUGGUAGAGUAAAAUCUAUGAGUAACGUAGCUAACGCGUGAAGUUGACCGCCUGGGGAAGUACGGUCGCAAGNUUAAAACUCAAAAGAGUAGUAGAGCGNGAGAGCGACGACGACGACGACGAGGAGGAGG